GGUUCCAUAGAGUAGUGGUUAGCACGUCUGCUUUACAUGCAGAAGGUCCUAGGUUCAUGUCCCAGUGGAACCA
rfam:Pteropus alecto contig163541, whole genome shotgun sequence.